GUGACCAGUAGAAGGCAUCUUAUUAAAAACUGAUAUGCAAGACCGAUCACUCAUUCAAGAAUCAGAUUUGGAGUUCCAAAAGCUUAAGUGAUCUUUUUGAGCAAAUGAGGCAGAUUAGGUUAGGGAUUUGGGGAAACCUAAUUGGGUUGUACAAGUUUGCUGCCAUAUUACUGAUUCUAUCAGUUUGUGCGUAAGGUUGAACAAGUCACGGCCACGAAACUAAUCAAGUAAGAAUGCUUAGGGAAGAACUACAGCUUCUGCAAGAGCCUACACAAAGGUACUUGCUGCAUUCAUAUCCUGAUACAGUUGGAAAAGAGUUCAUUUUGAAGUAAGGAAUUCCUUCAUUGCAUGAUGUUUGAUAUUAAGA